rnacentral:rRNA from 1 species
UGGAGCAUGUGUUUAAUCGACGCAACGCGCAGACUUACCUGGUCUUGCAUCUACGGAACCCUCCCGAAAGGAGGGGUGCCUUUCGGGGAGCCGUAAGACAGGUGCUGCAUGGCUGUCGUCAGCUCGUGUCGUGAGAUGUUGGGUUAAGUCCCGCAACGAGCCGCAACCCCCUAUCCUCAGUUGCCAUCAUUAAGUUGGGCACUCUGUGGAGACUGCCGGUGUCAAACCGGAGGAAGGUGGGGAUGACGUCAAGUCCUCAUGGCCCUUAUGACCAGGGCUACACACGUGCUACAAUGGCCGGUACAAAGAGUUGCGAUACCGCGAGGUGGAGCUAAUCUCAUAAAGCCGGUCUCAGCUCGGAUUGGAGUCUGCAACUCGACUCCAUGAAGUUGGAAUCGCUAGUAAUCGCGGAUCAGCAUGCCCGCGUCGAAUACGUUCCGGCCUU